rnacentral:misc_RNA from 1 species
GAACGCACCUUGCGCUCCUUGGUAUUCCGAGGAGCAUGCCUGUUUGAGUGUCAUUGAAUCCUCAACCCCAUCUUCCUAGUGAACGAAUGGUGUUGGAUGUGGAAGCUGCUGGCGUUGUCAGCUCUUCUCAAAUGAAUUAGCAGGGCCCACGUACAAGCCUCUCCAGCUUGGUAUUGAUAGAUGUCUUACCAGGUCGUAUUGCUGCAUGUGCAGGGUGCUCAGCUCCUAGCCGUCUCUAGUUGAGACAAGUGACUUGACGAUUUGACCUCAAAUCAGGUAGGACUACCCGCUGAACUUAAG